UGUAUAAUCUAUGUUUAUUUGUUGUCUGUUGAUACUCAGUUUUUUUAUGAAAAGGGACCUGCCCCUGCUUCAUUAACGAAACAUAGAGUUUUGCUACAACAUCAGAACAGAAUAAAAGGAAAAUCAGUCUCUAAUCAGACUGUCUGCAAAGCUCAACUUCAUAUUACAGUCCACUCAAAUGGAGGAACCUGUGUAUAACUUGAAGGAUCGGCUCUCAGCCAAGCGUAUGCCUGUGUUUGCUGAUGCACUCCUGCCGCCUAAGUGAGCAGCUACAUAAUAAUGUUUUUGUGUUUUUAUUUUGUAGCAAAAUGUUUUUCUAUUGUUGCUUCUUGGUUCCUGCUAUGCAGCUUUUCCCAUAGAAUGUGCUUUCUUAUAUGUUUAUUUGUUUACUGAGUAGAGCUUUAAAACGGAGAAACCUGUGUAUAACUUGAAGGAUCGGCUCCUCAGCCAAGCGUAUGCGUGCGUUUGCUGAUGCACUCCUGCGGCCUAAGCGAGCAGUGAUUGCAUUUAAAAUUAUGUUGAACGUUUCUUCAUUCUGAAUGCCAAAUCUGCUUCUUGAAAUUAUUGUGACGUAAACAAGCCAUGAGCUGCAGGAGUUCACUUACCAUGGCAAAAGGAUUGUGUUCACUGCUGAUAUAGUCAAGAAGGUGUUCGAUAUAUCAUCAGGUAACAAGCAUGUGGACUUGAUCAAAAAAGGUGAUGCUUGCGAGCUCCGUGAUGUCUAAAAGCAGGGUAACCCAAGGCGGCCUAUAAGAAAGGUUGAGAAGGUGUUGCUUGCUUGCAAUGAUUUUUUUUUGUGGAUAAGUGGGCCUUUGCCUUUCCUUGCUGUAUGUUCAUGUUCACGUCCCUCAUAUUUGUUUCAGUAUGUCUAAGUGUAUUUAGCUUUUGUUUGUGUUUCAAUGUGCUUACCGUUUGUUUUUUAGAUCAUUUACAUGGAUCAUUUGGAGUUCCCACCUAAUGAUUAUGUCAUAGACUGCUCGCUUCGAAGAGCUUUGUCCUAUAAAGAGCAAAGACUUCGACUUUGUAGUUGCUAUUGUCAUUGACAAGAAAAAAUUGUGCAAUACAACUAUCUUCGUGAGGCGACCCUUUCUCCUUUUGUCCAAGACAUUAUAUGUACAUGUACGCGAACCCGUUGAAGAGGAAGAAAUCAACUGGUCUGCAUCACUGAAUGAAUGGCUUGUGCCAGGAUUUCCUAAUAGCUAGGAAUUGGAGGUCCCAGCUCGUUACAAGCACAUGCAUGAGAAGUGUAAGGCUAUUUUGUUGCUGAUGUUGGUGCAACUAUCAAGAACCUUGUCAUUGGCUUCAAACACAUGUAUUCCCAGUGCAUGUCUGCUUUUUCAUUGUCGUAGAUGAUGCAAUCUGGGAAGGAUAUGGUCCAAGUGUUGUGUUCCCAACUGAUGCAAAUGUUGAGCAAAACAAAAAUCCUGUCAUAGGAUAUGAGGAGCAGGAUCUGCAAAAGAAGGAUAGGUUGACAUGGAUGAAGCAAAGGAGGAC